UACAGAGGGUGCGAGCGUUAAUCGGAAUUACUGGGCGUAAAGCGCGCGUAGGCGGCUAUGCAAGUCGGGUGUGAAAUCCCCAGGCUUAACCUGGGAACUGCAUUCGAGACUGCAUUGCUAGAGUAUGGGAGGGGGAAGUGGAAUUUCCGGUGUAGCGGUGAAAUGCGUAGAUAUCGGAAGGAACAUCAGUGGCGAAAGCGACUUCCUGGACCAAUACUGACGCUCAUGUGCGAAAGCGUGGGGAGCAAACAGG
rnacentral:rRNA from 1 species